CAGAGGUCAAGUCACAGUAACUCAGACUCCUGCAGUGAAAUCUGCUCGUCCAGGAGAAACAGUCACCAUCAACUGUAGAACUAAUCCCCAGGUGUACCAAGGUUGGGGCUAUCAACCUUUAGCUUGGUAUCAGCAGAAACCUGGAGAAGCUCCUAAACUACUGAUUAUAAAAGCAAAUCAGCUACAGUCAGGUUUUCCAGCUCGUUUCAGUGGCAGUGGAUCUGGAUCUGAUUUCACUCUGACCAUCAGUGGAGUCCAGACUGAAGAUGCAGCAGAUUAUUACUGUAAAGGCGUUCACUGUCCUAGCAGCUGCGUGUUCACACAGUGUUAUUGAGUCGUACAAAAACCUCCCUUAGUCAGAUUGUAGAGAGACUGCACUGCUGCAGCUGGGAGCGACUGCAGGUGCUGAGUUAGAGGAUGUGAUACGACACAAUGACACUCUGUGGAGGAGAGGAACCACACCACACUAACUCACAACUCACAUUAGAAAUCUCUCAAUAAUCAUAACACCACAGUACACAGAGUCCACCAGGGCCACUACUGUAAAAUUAAUACUUCUAUUGAUUUAUAAAUUAUUCUAAUCCUUUUUCAAAGCUAUUUGGUGGUUAAUCAUCUGCUCUCUGAUUUAGUUGUGUUUUUCUUGUUUCCCUUUCAUGACACACUUCAGCCCUGCUCUAGAUUCUCCCUCAGUUACUGGUGUAACUCCUCACAGACUCUCUCUUCUGAGAUUUGGGAAUCAAACUGGUGUUCCUUCUCUCCACUCCACUAAGUCAAGACUCCAGUCCUCCUGACUCCUCUCUCUCUUUAGAACUCUUAUAUCCGAAGAUUUAACAACUCUCCUCUAAAACACAAUAAUGUGAACUACUUGGACAUGGUCAUCCAUCCUUUACCAGCAAGAGCAUCCAGUGUUUCUGCAUGAAUCUCAGUAAGUUUGGCAGACAUCUCAUCAUGGAUGGCAGCUCUUUAUCCUCAGCUGAAACUAAAUCUCAGCAAGUCUGUUCUGCUGUAUAUCACUAGAGAUGCAUCACUAUGAUGGAUUUGGUGAUUGUUGAGGAGAACUAUUGUGUAACAACAUCUGACAGAACAAUGAAACUUCGGGUAGUUUAAAAAACUAGCUAACAUUCUCUCCUCAUAUCUCAUCACAUCUUUUUUUAAUUGUCUUGGCCAAAAACUGAACAUCUGCAGCACUAUCAGGCUUUAAACAAAGAACUUUAUUCAGUCACCAAGCGCUAAAAUAAACCCUAAUAAAAAACUUCAUUUUGUGCUGUUGUUUUCUUUCUGCACUAAUAUUAACUUCUCUCUAAUGGGAAUUUAGCUUCAUAAUAUUUUAUUGGUUUAUGAGGAUGUGUUUUAUUGUAGACUACCAAAGCACAUGUACGUCUGUAAGUCACACUGGAUAAGGGGAUGUGCCGGGUGCUGUAGAUGUAAGUAUACUUGAGAGACAGUGCAAUACUACUUCUUGUCCUGUGGUUCAGGUCUCGCUCCUGUUUGAUGGUUUAUUGAGUCAGGAAUCACGCAGCAUUAAGGUGUUGUUUUAAUGUGAUCUGAUUUCUCCAGCUGAUGGCCCUGUUUUAUACAUGACCUCAGACCAUUUUUUUCUUUUGCUGUCUAUAUAUAAGUUUUAUUAUCAGUUUGUCUCACCUGUGUUUUGUUCUCGUGUCAUCCUGGUGCACUUUGCUGCUAUUCUGUUCACUCUGUAAGAGAGGAUAUACUGUAGAUUAAUUCAAUUCAAUUUUAUUUAUAUAGCGCUUUUAACAAUGGUCAUUGUCUUAAAGCAGCUUCACAAAAAUAAAGGAAAU